rnacentral:rRNA from 1 species
UACGGGGGGGGUAAGCGUUGUUCGGAAUUACUGGGCGUAAAGGGCUCGUAGGCGGCCAACUAAGUCAGACGUGAAAUCCCUCAGCUUAACUGGGGAACUGCGUCUGAUACUGGAUGGCUUGGAUUCGGGAGAGGGAAUGCGGAAUUCCAGGUGUAGCGGUGAAAUGCGUAGAUAUCUGGAGGAACACCGGUGGCGAAGGCGGCAUUCUGGACCGACAUUGACGCUGAGGAGCGAAAGCCAGGGGAGCAAACGGG